AAUGAACGUUGGCGGCGUGGAUUAGGCAUGCAAGUCGCGCGAUAAGUCCCCGCAAGGGGACGGAAAGCGGCGAAAGGGACAGUAAUGCGUAGAUACCUACCCUCGGGCUCGGGAUAGCUGCGGGAAACUGCAAUUAAUACCGAAUAACGUCUCCGGACCAAAGGUGUGAUUCCGCCUGGGGAUGGGUCUGCGUCCUAUUAGCUAGUUGGCGUGGUAACGGCACACCAAGGCAAAGAUGGGUAGCAGGUGUGAGAGCACGACCUGCGUCACUGGGACUGAGACACUGCCCAGACACCGACGGGUGGCUGCAGUCGAGGAUCUUCGGCAAUGGGCGCAAGCCUGACCGAGCGACGCCGCGUGCGGGAUGAAGGCCUUCGGGUUGUAAACCGCUGUCAGAGAGGCGGAAAUAUAGGGGGGUUCUCCCUUCUAUUUGACCUAUUCUCAGAGGAAGUGCGGGCUAAGUCCGUGCCAGCAGCCGCGGUAA
rnacentral:rRNA from 1 species